rnacentral:rRNA from 1 species
ACCAGCGGCGAUAGCACGUUGAAUGCUCCAGUUUCCAUGGUUCACGGAAGUUAAGCAACGUUGUGCGUGGUUCUUAACUUGGUAACCGGAUGGGUGACCAUCUGGCAAUCGCCUGCGGCCCCACUCA